rnacentral:rRNA from 1 species
UAGUCCACGCAGUAAACGAUGAGUGCUAGUUGUCGGGAUUUUUCUCGGUGGCGAAGCUAACGCGUUAAGCACUCCGCCUGGGGAGUACGGCCGCAAGGCUAAAACUCAAAGGAAUUGACGGGGACCCGCACAAGCAGUGGAGCAUGUGGUUUAAUUCGAUGAUACGCGAGAAACCUUACCAGCUCUUGAAUCCUGAUUACGAUUUUCAGAGAUGAAUUUUUCAGUUCGGCUGGAUCAGUGACAGGUGCUGCAUGGCUGUCGUCAGCUCGUGUCGUGAGACGUCGCGUUAAGUCGCUUAACGAGCGCAACCCUUGUCUUUAGUUGCCAGCGAGUAAUGUCGGGGACUCUAGAGAGACUGCCGGUGUUAAACCGGAGGAAGGUGGGGAUGACGUCAAGUCCUCAUGGCCUUUAUGACCAGGGCUGCACACGUCCUACAAUGCAACAUACAAAGGGAAGACAAAACCGCGAGGUCAAGCAAAUCCCAAAAAGUGUUAGCUCAGUUCGG